GCCGGGUGUGGUGGCGGGCACCUGUAAUCCCAGCUACUUGGGAGGCUGAGGCAGGGAAAUCACUUGAACCUAGGAGGCAGAGGUUGCAGUGAGUCGAGAUUGCACUGCUGUACUCCAGCCUGGGUAAUAGAGUGAGACUCUGUCUCAA
rnacentral:sRNA from 1 species